rnacentral:rRNA from 1 species
UACGAAGGGGGCGAGCGUUGUUCGGAUUUACUGGGCGUAAAGGGCGCGCAGGCGGUCUUGAAAGUCAGGCGUGAAAGCCCCGGGCUUAACCUGGGAAUUGCGCUUGAUACUCUGAGACUGGAGUACGGGGGAGGAGAGUGGAAUUCCCAGUGUAGAGGUGAAAUUCGUAGAUAUUGGGAAGAACACCAGUGGCGAAGGCGGCUCUCUGGACCGUAACUGACGCUGAGGCGCGAAAGCGUGGGGAGCAAACAGG